CCCUUAGAUGUUCUGGGCCGCACGCGUGCUACACUGAGUGGAUCAGCGGGUCAGGUUGCGCGAAAGUGUUUCCUAAUCUUGAAAUCCGCUCGUGAUGGGGAUUGACGGUUGCAAUUUUCCGUCAUGAACGAGGAAUACCUUGUAGGCGCGGGUCAUCAUCCCGCGCUGAAUACGUCCCUGCCCUUUGUACACACCGCCCGUCGCUCCUACCGAUUGAGUGGUCCGGUGAGGCUUUGGGAUCUGAGCAAAAAGAGCGUUUCGCUCGUUUGGCUCGGAAAACUCAGUCGAACCUUAUCAUUUAGAGGAAGGAGAAGUCGUAACA
rnacentral:rRNA from 1 species